GAUGAACGCUGGCGGCGUGCUUAACACAUGCAAGUCGAACGGAAAGGCUCCUGCUUGCAGGGGUACUCGAGUGGCGAACGGGUGAGUAACACGUGGGUGAUCUGCCCUGCACUUCGGGAUAAGCCUGGGAAACUGGGUCUAAUACCGGAUAGGACGAUGGUUUGGAUGCCAUUGUGGAAAGUUUUUCGGUGUGGGAUGGGCUCGCGGCCUAUCAGCUUGUUGGUGGGGUAAUGGCCUACCAAGGCGUCGACGGGUAGCCGGCCUGAGAGGGUGUACGGCCACAUUGGGACUGAGAUACGGCCCAGACUCCUACGGGAAGCAGCAGUGGGGAAUAUUGCACAAUGGGCGCAAGCCUGAUGCAGCGACGCCGCGUGGGGGAUGACGGCCUUCGGGUUGUAAACUCCUUUCGCUAGGGACGAAGCGCAAGUGACGGUACCUGGAGAAGAAGCACCGGCUAACUACGUG
rnacentral:rRNA from 1 species